rnacentral:lncRNA from 1 species
ACUACCGUAAUAUUCCACUGCUUUGAAACUCUGAAAUCUACUUUUAUGCAUUUGAACAUUCGGUUGUAAUAACUUAAUUUGGGACAUGUAAUUUCUUAUCUAGAUUGUUGUAAUCUCUGAACUUGUCUUCGUGCGAGCUUUGUAUGCUUGUUUCGAUUAGAAACACAUGGUUGUAUUGGGUGAAACCUGACAGACUACCAUCUUAAUUCGAUUAAAGUGUCUAUUCGCAUUUAAGGCGAUGUUAAGCACACUUUAGCUGGGUCAAUUUGGGUGGUUCUACCACACCAACACCGAGCAUCAGCCUUCUUAUCACUUGCAGAUGAUCGGCGUCCCUCUCAACUCCUCUCACCCCAUGUUCCUCCAUCGCACCGAAAGUGACAUCGCACAAUCGCGCACAUGUCGUCGCCAGUCCUUCAGAUGUAUCUCUCCUUUAUUUCUCUACCACUUCUCCCUUCGAUUAAUUCUCAUGAAGUGCC